GAUGAACGCUGGCGGCGUGCCUAAUACAUGCAAGUCGAGCGAACAGACGAGGAGCUUGCUCCUCUGACGUUAGCGGCGGACGGGUGAGUAACACGUGGAUAACCUACCUAUAAGACUGGGAUAACUUCGGGAAACCGGAGCUAAUACCGGAUAAUAUAUUGAACCGCAUGGUUCAAUAGUGAAAGACGGUUUUGCUGUCACUUAUAGAUGGAUCUGCGCCGCAUUAGCUAGUUGGUAAGGUAACGGCUUACUAAGGCAACGAUGCGUAGCCGACCUGAGAGGGUGAUCGCCCACACGGGAACUGAGACACGGUCCAGACUCCUACGGGAGGCAGCAGUAGGGAAUCUUCCGCAAUGGGCGAAAGCCUGACGGAGCAACGCCGCGUGAGAGAUGAAGGUCUUCGGAUCGUAAAACUCUGUUAUUAGGGAAGAACAAAUGUGUAAGUAACUAUGCACGUCUUGACGGUACCUAAUCAGAAACCCACGGCCAACUACGUG
rnacentral:rRNA from 1 species